AUGUCCAUGGACGACUGCUUCAUCCCGCUCCCCUCCCCACUCCAUGACCGCUGGCGGUGCGGCUCUCCCCCCUGCCUCUCCCAGCUAGAUCUGGACGACCGCGCGGCCGCCGGUUCUGCCUCGCAUGGCGUCCCCAGACGCAUCCUGCGGAGCCCUAACCGCCCACUCGCCGUCCCCCCGAGGCGCCCCCCUCCUCCCCUCGAUCCGCUGCCUAAGUAUAAGGGGAAUUCGCUGCAUGCCUUCCCAGAGGAGGAGCCAAAGCAACACCAAGUCACAGUUUCACGUGCCGCUUCUAAGGGGAGAUAUGCAAGGUUUAAAGAAAAUUUGAAUGCCAAGGCAGAGGAGACAAAGCAACACCACCAUCAAGUUCCCGUCUCAUGCGCCGCUUCAAAAGGGAGGAAUCGAGCUGGUUGGAUGUCCCAGGAGAGAAGCACUCCUGAAGGUAUCAACAUGAAGGAACAUGGUUGGAGGUUUCGGUUCCCCUUCCCCGAACUCCCCAAGUCGACUUACCGUGGUGACUUGAACUCCCUUGGAAAGCCAGUUGUAAUGAAACAGAGGAAACCUCUGGAGGUGAGGAACGCUCGCCGUGAAAGAAGAGUCGCGGCCAAACAAAAGGCUGCGCGCUACCAUGCGGAGGUUGCCCUGCGUAAAUACAACAGAGCAAACAACACCAAGUUUGAGCUGGUGGAGGUAAAAGUGAUAUCUAUAUUCUCCGAGUUUGGAGGGGCCGGGGCCCAUUAUAACUUCACAGCUAAGCAGCCUGAGGACCAGCAUUCUGCUGAUGCCGACAGUACCAAGCUAUUCUUCUCUGAAGUCGACCUCUAUUUUCGGAGUGAGAAUGAUGUGAUCAUGUGCUGUAUAGUUGGGGAAAAUGACGCAGGCCAUUGGUAUGGAUGCAAAAACUACCAGCCUGUUAUUCACCCAAGCAGCGAAGCAUACGGGGGCGGUAGCAGUACUUGUAUUGACUACCCUUAUCCGGACAGCGAAAGCUCAGACAGUGAUUAG
rnacentral:rRNA from 1 species